rnacentral:rRNA from 1 species
UACGGGGGGGGCAAGCGUUGUUCGGAAUUACUGGGCGUAAAGGGCUCGUAGGUGGCCAACUAAGUCGGACGUGAAAUCCCUCAGCUUAACUGGGGAACUGCGUCCGAUACUGGAUGGCUUGAGUUUGGGAGAGGGACGCGGAAUUCCAGGUGUAGCGGUGAAAUGCGUAGAUAUCUGGAGGAACACCGGUGGCGAAGGCGGCAUCCUGGACCAACACUGACGCUGAGGAGCGAAAGCCAGGGGAGCAAACGGG